rnacentral:rRNA from 1 species
GCCUACGGCCAUACCACCCUGAGAACGCCCGAUCUCGUCUGAUCUCGGAAGCUAAGCAGGAUCCUGUCAUGGCCGAAUGAC